UGUGCUCCUCUUCUCGGCGCAACUUCCACUCCACUCCUUCCUCAUCCUUCACCUCAACCAUCCUGAACACCCUUCCCCAUUCUGAUUCAUUUUCCUCUCAUCUGCAAUUAACCUUCUGUGUCCUCUCCCCUCCAGGCCAGCAAGAUCUUCCCCACCUGCCCCCUGGCUGACAGGUGUCCUGCGCAGCAACCAACAAGAUCUAAGGAAGGCUGAGAGAAGGUGGAGGAAAUCUCCGCUUGACUCGGUUCUUCACUCAUACCAAUAUCUCCUUUCCAAAUUCUCACUCAGUUACUGCUGCAAAGUCAUCUUUCUACAAAGGGAAACUGAAAGCAUCAGCAUCUGAUCCAUAUGCUGUCCUUCAACUGAUCAAAACCAGUAACCCAACCACCUGCCCACUGGAUCCCAUCCCAUCGGCAUUGUCAAUCUUUGAGGACCUACUGCCCUUCAUCAUGUUUCUCAUGAAGUCCUUGUCAUCAGGUGAAGUUCCAUCAACUUUCAAGACUGCAAGAGUACUCCCCAUCUUGAAGAAACACAUGCUUGACAGCUCUCAACAACUACAGACCGGUAUUACUACUUUCUUUCCUUUCAAAAAUUCCUGCACAUGGUCUGUCGCUCGGUCUGUGAACCAGCUCCAGGACCCCAACCAGUCUGGCUUCAAACCAGCACACUCUACAGAAACUGCCCUCAAUGCAGUGACUGAACCUCCAAUCUGCAAGAUCAGCCAAAUUGUCAUCUGUCCUGAUCCUUCUUGAUCUCUCAGCAGCUUUUGAGUCAACCAUAUGAUCCUUCUGGACAUCCUCACCAACCUUGGAAUCACUGGCUGUGUGGAAGUGGUUCAAGUCCUAUCUGGAGGAUCACUCUUUUCAGGUUCAGUCGCAUCUCGGCAUGCCUGUCUGACACCUUCAUGGAUGGCAGCUCACCACCUGAAGCUCAAUCCCAGCAAGACGGAGCUGAUAUUCAUCCCUGCAACUACAGGUCCUAAUCAUGAUCUUGCCAUCUCAUUCGAGAACUCCCUGAUAAUUCCAUCUGUAGAGGCAAGAAGUCUUGGUGUGAGUCUGGAUGGCCACUAUCGUUCUCAACUCGCACCGUGAACCUGACUCGGACAUGUAGGUUUCUCCUGUACAACAUCCGAAGGAUCCGACCCUUCCUCACCCAAGAGGUCGCCCAGGUGCUAGUGCAGUCUCUGGUCAUCUCAAGGCUUGACUACUGCAACUCACUCUUGGCUGGUCUUCCCAUGCAGGCCAUCAAGCCUCUGCAACUCAUCCAGAAUGCGGCAGCACGGCUCCUUCAAUCUGCCCAAUUUCAGCCAAGUCACCCCACUGCUGCGCUCCCUUCACUGGCUCCCUGUAGCUGCACACAUCAGAUUUAAAACCCUGCUUGCCUACAAAGCCAAAAAUGGACCAGCCCCUACCUACUUGAUGGCAAUGGUGAAAUCUCGAACUGUACCACCAGCCCUUCGGGUACAUCUCUGCUUGACCUGCCAUCCUUCAAGGUGCAUGGAAGACGGGCAUCGAAUGUUCUCUGUGGAAUGAACUCCCACUGGCUGUCCGAACAGCAGUCUCUUGCUGUCUUCAAACAUGGACUGAAGACUCAUCUCUUUACACAGCACUUAAAUGAGCACUGAAUUAUAAGCUUCACUUAUAUUUUAUUGCACUGUGUAUUGUAUUUUGUUGUAAUUGCAUUGAAUGGCACAGAGUUCUGUUCAACUCUGUUCCUUUUUCUCUGUGUCUGCAGUGACAUUUUGUUUCUAGCAGCACCUGAGCUCAGGACUCUUUUCUCUAAGCUACUGGUAGCUAGACAAAGCAUCUCUUGUAAGUCGCUCUGGAUAAGGACGUCUGCUAAAUGCUGUAAAUGUCUGUGUUGUAGUUUGUCUGCAGCCUGAUCUGUUCUUGUUGGCUACUUGAACCUGCACCAUUUUGACCCUGACCCUGGAUUUGCCCAAAAUCUCACUUUACGCAGCAUGUGCGUCCCACUCAUUGCUCCACGUCACAGCCAGUCUCGGAUCUGUUAUUGCAAAUUAAUAGAAUACAGGCAUAGAAGAUUUUAUCAUAUUUUUUUUGUCGGUCAACUUUUUUUGCAUAAAUUGAGCUCUGCAACUGCCCUUUACAUGGAUAAACUUCAUGGUGAUUGGACAAAUAGAAAUGCUCCAGGACUGCUUGGAACAAAAUCUGUUUAUAUUAACUUGCUGGGAAGUUUUCUACAAGAUUUGAGUGUCUGUGGGGAAUUUUUGCUCCUUCAUCCAGAAGAGCAUUUGUGAGGUCAGACAUUGUUCAUCGCUAAGGUGUUUUGAUGGGGUUGAAGUCAGGGCCCUGUGUGGGCCAGUCAGGUUCUUCCACACCAAAUUCACCCAGCCAUGCCUUUUUGGCUCAGGCAUGCUGGAACAGAAAAGGGCCUUCCAUAAACUGAUCCCACAAAGUUGGAAGCAUAGAAUUGUCCAAAAUGUCUUGGUCUGCUGAAGCAUUAAAAUUUCUCUACAGUGGAACUAAGGGGCCUAGGCCACCCAGUGGAGUUUAGGACACUGUGUAGAUGAAGUGUGAAGCCAUUUUAGAUUGACAGAUUCUAGUGUGGUGUUUGUGUGUGGUGUGGGUUGUUUUUUUUUUUUUUUUUUUUUAUUUAUAAAUCUAAAAUCACUGCAUUCAGCUACACAGUAAAGUUUUCUUAAUUUUAGGUAAUCUGUCCUAAAUCACAUCUGCAUGAGCUGGAUGCAGUUUAUGCUUUUUGAGAAUAAUUUGAGAUUUAUUUGUGAAAAUAGCCUGGGUGCCUGUUGACCAAGUGUUUAUUUGUUUAUUUGUUCCAUUUUAAAACUAAAGCAGCAAAAAUUGGAACCCAAACGGGUCCAAACCUAUUGGUUACAACUUGUGCACAUUUAACUUUUCACUCAACCAUUUAAAGUUGUCAAGUUUAAUGAAUUUAUUUUAAUUUGUAUUACAAUUCCACCAUUAUUGCAUCCAAGUUGCAC
ensembl:lncRNA